rnacentral:rRNA from 1 species
AUACGUAUGUCGCAAGCGUUAUCCGGAUUUAUUGGGCGUAAAGCGCGUCUAGGCGGCUUAGUAAGUCUGAUGUGAAAAUGCGGGGCUCAACCCCGUAUUGCGUUGGAAACUGCUAAACUAGAGUACUGGAGAGGUAGGCGGAACUACAAGUGUAGAGGUGAAAUUCGUAGAUAUUUGUAGGAAUGCCGAUGGGGAAGCCAGCCUUCAGGACGCAUACUGACGCUAAGGCUCGAAAGCGUGGGAAGCAAAGAGAAUUAAAUCCCCUGGUAGUCCACGCCGUAAACGAUGAUUACUAGGUGUUGGGGGUCGAACCUCAGCGCCCAAGCUAACGCGAUAAGUAAUCCGCCUGGGGAGUACGGACGCAAGUAUGAAACUCAAAUGAAUUGACGGGG